UGUGUGUAGUAUGGGAUUGCAGAUACUUGUAUUCUGUCUUAACCUCUUUUUUAUAAACAACCAGGGCUGCAUUUCUCAAAACCAUUGUAAGCCGAUGUAGGUCAUAGAACUAUUGGCACCAAUGGUCUCUACAAUCAAAUUAACUCACGAUGCUUUUGAGAAAUGCAGCUCUGUAUAAAGGAAAUAAUCAGUUAUCAGGCUAACUUGGGUGUUUCUAUACAUAUUGAUUUCAUUGAAAGAUUUUUGGGGGUGAGCUUAAGAAAUAAAAACUGAAGUAUAUCCCGUAUCAGCAGGUUGAAAAUGAAAAUCGGGUUGACGUCUAAACCCAAUGUUUGUUUGACAUCAAGCUGCAAAGUUGGGCAGAUGUUGAAUUUUGGAUGGAAUAAACACCACAAAAAAAAGUGAAACGCAUGGCAGCACAAGGUGCCAAACAAAAUGAAGACAGUAUAUGAUCACUCUAUGCUGAUUAUAUUUUUAUCAUCAACAAGUAACCAUCAUCUGAUCAUAUAUUGUAUUGCUUUUCUUGCCAUAACUAACACAAUUAUAUCAGCCAGAAAAAAAGAAAAAAUAACAAAAAAAAAUGUUAAAAAUUCAAGAGUCAAACUGAAAACAAACGCUGAUCACCAUAAUGGUGAUGUUUUCAACAAAUCGAAACAAGCUAAACUUUUUCAACAAAUCAUUAACUUUUAAUCCUCUAUUAAUUCUCAAUAAGAGCUUCUGUAGACGUAUGACAGAAAUAAAGUCAGUCUGGUUAGUAAUAGUGAAGCUGGUAGUAAUAAGUGAUGCUGCCAUGCAUUUCACCCUUUUUUAGUUUUUUUUUUUUUUUUUUUUUUUUUUUACCAUGCAGUGCUUAUUACAACCAAAAUUUGACAUCUGUCUGAAAUUGGAGCUUGACGUCAAACAAACGCUGGAUUUAGGUUCUAAUUUUCAAACAAAAUCUGACGUUUGACCAACGUUGGAUUAGUUGGAGUCCAAUGUCUUAUUGACAUAAACAUACUGUGCCUGCUGGGAUAGUUCAGACAAACUAAACAGAUUUCCAAAUAAAAAUCUGAUCACCUUUUUUUUUUCUUUUUUUAAGGAGAAACAGGUGGAUGAAAAAGAGAAAUGACACACAGGAGUCUCAGAUGAAUCAUGACAGACGCAAAGCUUGUGAUGUUGAAUUGACUGAACCUGUGUAUCAAAAUGUAAUGCUUGACGGGAAGAUGUCAUAGUGUGGUACACAUAGCGAAACAUUUUACAGCUUUCUGUAUCUCUGAUGUGUGGAGCCCUGAAAAGCAACAUGAAUUGAUAAAAAAAAGUGUGUAAUUAAGUGUUUUAAACAUUGACAUCAAAUGUUUUAAACAUUAAAAACAUUGACAGCCAAUCAGAAUCCAUCCUGCUUUAAAGAACUUGAGCAUUUAAAGUGACAGAAUAAACAUAACUGUGAACGAGCCUUAAGCCUCAUUGUUUAUGUUUUCAAAGCAGAAAAUAAAGAUCUGAUAUUGCAGUA